rnacentral:rRNA from 1 species
CCGGAUAAGUCUUUACGGAGAAAGCUUUAUGCACCAUUGGAUGAGCCUGCACUUGAUUAGUUUGUUGGUGGGGUAAUGGCCUACCAAGACUGUGAUCAAUAGCUGAUUUGAGAGGAUGAUCAGCCACAUUGGGACUGAGACACGGCCCAAACUGCUACGGGAGGCAGCAGUGGGGAAUCUUGCACAAUGGAGGAAACUCUGAUGCAGCGAUGCCGCGUGAGU